rnacentral:rRNA from 1 species
GUUAAAGCUACGGCGGUUGAAGAGUGGGCAUGCGUUCGAUUAGCUAGUUGUGUAGGUAACGGCUCACAAGGCUACGAUCGAUAGGGGGUCUGAGAGGAUGAUCCCCCACACUGGUACUGAGAUACGGACCAGACUCCUACGGGAGGCAGCAGUAGGGAAUAUUGGUCAAUGGGCGCAAGCCUGAACCAGCCAUGCCGCGUGCAGGAAGAAGGCCCUCUGGGUUGUAAACUGCUUUUGAUAGGGAACAAAUGCCACUUGCGAGUGGAGCUGAGUGUACCUAUAGAAUAAGCACCGGCUAACUCCGUG